rnacentral:rRNA from 1 species
UACGGAGGGGGCUAGCGUUGUUCGGAAUUACUGGGCGUAAAGGGCGCGUAGGCGGUCUACUAAGUUGGAUGUGAAAACUCUGGGCUUAACCCAGAGCCUGCAUUCAAAACUGAUAGGCUGGAGUUCUGGAGGGGAUAGCGGAAUUCCUGGUGUAGCGGUGAAAUGCGUAGAUAUCAGGAGGAACACCGGUGGCGAAGGCGGCUAUCUGGACAGAAACUGACGCUGGAGGCGCGAAAGCGUGGGGAGCAAACAGG